ACCAAUUAUCAUUUAUGAAUAAAUUAAUAAGAUAAAUUGAGAUGGUAGAGCGGAGUGGAAGGGCAGAUUCCGGGGACACUGUUUGGGUGGUGGUGGAAGGGAGGACUUUUGCUGCUUGCCUUCCUCCCGGGUGCGGAAAAUUUACUCCCAAUUUUUGGAAUAUUAUUAUUAUUAUUAUUAUUUUUAUUAUUUUUCUCGGCAUAAAAUAAAAUAAAAUAAAAUAAAGAUUUAGGGCAAUUGAAGUUGGUGGUUAAAUGGAAUGGCCGUCCAGCUGUAAAUUUUAGUUCGGAAAGCGCAAGUAGGAGAGGGAGAGGGAGAGGGAGAGAGAGAGAGGAGGGGUGAUGCGUCUGCUCUCUGGUAUUGAACGCAGUGGAGGAGGAGGUCGGUUUCUGGUUGCAGUUUUGGGAAGAAGCAGUGCCGUCUGUCCAACAUUUCUGCCCUUGGAUUUUUCGGUCUCUUUUUCGGCCCCUCUUUCCUGAUCCACUCGCUUAGUGGGCUUUGCGGGAGGAUGGAGGCCGCCGCCGCCGCCGCCGAAGCUUCACCGAGCGCUCACAGAAGCGUCCGCCUGCAGGCCCCGCUGGUUGAUUCUGUGUCAUGUUAUUGUCGAGUAGAUGCAGGCUUGAAAACUGUUGUAGGAGCUAGAAAAUUUGUUCCUGGAGCGAAGCUAUGUCUCCAACCUGAUAUCAAACCUAAUGGGCCCAGGAUGAGGAAUUCACGCAGGGAACGUUGCAGAAACCAGGCACCACUCUUGCCUGGCCUUCCUGAUGAUCUUGCCAUUGCUUGUCUGAUCCGUGUUCCUCGAGCUGAGCACCCAAACCUUCGAUUAGUUUGUAAAAGAUGGAACCGCCUUUUGUCUGGAAACUACUUUUAUUCCCUCAGGAAGAAGCUUGGGAUGGUGGAGGAAUGGGUUUAUGUCAUUAAGAGAGACCGUGAUGGGAAAAUAUCUUGGCACGCUUUUGAUCCCAUCUAUCAGCUAUGGAAACCACUUCCACCUGUUCCUGCAGAGUAUUCUGAAGCACUUGGCUUUGGUUGUGCUGUUCUUAGCGGCUGCUACCUUUACUUAUUUGGAGGUAAGGAUCCAUUAAGGGGCUCUAUGAGGCGUGUUGUCUUCUAUAAUGCCCGAACAAACAAAUGGAAUCGAGCUCCAGAUAUGCUACGAAAACGCCAUUUUUUUGGUUCCUGUGUCAUAAAUAAUUGCCUCUAUGUUGCUGGUGGAGAAUGUGAGGGGAUCCACAGAAACUUGCGUUCAGCUGAGGUAUACGAUCCUAACAGGAACAGAUGGACCUUUAUUGGUGAAAUGAACACUGGAAUGGUACCACUUAUUGGGGUGGUUUUUGAUGGAAAGUGGUUCCUGAAAGGGCUUGAUUCUCACCGUCAGGUUGUGAGUGAAGUAUAUGUACCCACAACAAAUGCGUGGUCCCCAGUUAAUGAUGGAAUGGUUACAGGAUGGCGAAACCCAAGCAUUUCAUUCAAUGGGAGGCUUUAUGCCUCGGAUUGUAGGGAUGGAUGCAAGCUUAGAGUCUAUGAUAGAGCUACAGAUUCAUGGAACAAGUUCAUGGAUAGCAAAAAUCAUCUAGGCAACUCUCGUGCCUUUGAGGCUGCGGCUUUUGUAUCUCUCAAUGGUAAGCUCUGCAUCAUCCACAACAACAUGAGCAUCACUGUCUUUGAUGUAUCAAAUCCAGGAAAGAACAUAGAGACUAUCAGUGCUCAUUUGUGGGAGACUGUUGCUGGGAAAGGCCAUUUAAAGACUUUUGUGGCAAAUUUAUGGUCAAGCAUUGCAGGUCGUAGUGGGUUGAAGAGUCACAUUGUUCACUGUCAAGUGCUUCAACUCUGAGGCUUGAAGCAUUCUGAUAAUGGAAGAUAGACUGACAGAUGAUGGAUGGUUCCUUGAUGAAGCACUAUAGUAUUAUCUACUGCUUAUACCAUCUUCAUGUUUGAGUAGUCAAAUUUCAAUCCAAGGAACUAUUUAUUUGCUGACCAAUAUAUGUCGAUUCCUACAUGUUAGGUUGUUUUUCUUUUAGGGACUGUUUGGAUAAUCCAGCAUGAUUGGACUGAAUUUCUUGCUGGAUUCAUGGAUUGGGCAGCUCAUUUGGGCAUGACAUGUAUCAACCCAAACACAUCCGUACCUCGAAUCUUGUGGGAGGAAAGAAAAGAUCUUUGUAGGUCCUUUUUUUCUCUCUGCAGUGAUGGGCUGGGGAGAUCCGGUUAUGUGGCUUGGGCUGGGUCUGCUAUCCUCUAAUAGUAGAAAUCCUGUUUAUGAUCUCGUGGAUCCAGCGGGAUUAUCCAAACAGAUCCAAACAGAUCUUAGGGUGUUUAAAGAUAACAACCCUUUCUGGUGGGUAUAUGUAUGAAGCUUCCAGAGAAAAAGGAACCUUUCUGCUCGGGCUCUUCUAGCAGUUUGCUCCGAACAGGGUUAUGAAGCAGAGAGGUGAAAUGGUCUGGAAACAUUCAUCUUGUUCUUGUGGCAGCUUGCAGGCUUGAUUGUUUACCAGGGAUGCAAAAUCAUUACAAUUUUGAAGGGCAGCUGUUUGAAAUCAAACCCUCACCACAACACUCCCAACCCAAGAAAAGGAAAACUGGAGUAAUUUGCAUGCAACUGCUUAUUAUCCUCAAGACCUCAACCAUUGUCCUUGAUGUAGGACAGCCUGGGAGAUGGAGAAUAGGAAGCUUUGAUACCAAACAAAUGUAGGAUAGAAAAAGGAGGGGAGAGGAGAAAAGCAAGCAGAGGGAAGAGAAGAAGAUAGAGAAGAUGAAAGCAGAGGGAGAGGGCAAUUCAGUAUUCUCAUAUUAUAAUGAUGCAAACUUGUAUUUUCAAUUAUAUUGCAAUGAGUUUAUAUAGGUUCAAAUUUUCAAUAAGAGUCCGUACAGAAAUAAAAUAUUAUAGUCUUU